GACGAACGCUGGCGGCGUGCUUAACACAUGCAAGUCGAACGGAAAGGCCCUGCUUUUGUGGGGUGCUCGAGUGGCGAACGGGUGAGUAACACGUGAGUAACCUGCCCUUGACUUUGGGAUAACUUCAGGAAACUGGGGCUAAUACCGGAUAGGAGCUCCUGCUGCAUGGUGGGGGUUGGAAAGUUUCGGCGGUUGGGGAUGGACUCGCGGCUUAUCAGCUUGUUGGUGGGGUAGUGGCUUACCAAGGCUUUGACGGGUAGCCGGCCUGAGAGGGUGACCGGCCACAUUGGAACUGAGAUACGGCCCAGACACCGACGGGAGGCAGCAGUGGGGAAUAUGGCACAAUGGGCGAAAGCGUGAGGCAGCAACGCCGCGUGCGGGAUGACGGCCUUCGGGUUGUAAACCGCUUUCGCCUGUGACGAAGCGUAAGGGACGGUAAUGGGUAAAGAAGCACCGGCUAACUACGU
rnacentral:rRNA from 1 species